rnacentral:tRNA from 1 species
GCGCCGGGAGCUCAAUUGGAUAGAGCGACAGACUACGGAUCUGUAGGCUGUGGGUUCGAGUCCCGCCCGGCGCACCA